rnacentral:rRNA from 1 species
GACGAACGCUGGCGGCGUGCCUAAUACAUGCAAGUAGAACGCUGAAGGAGGAGCUUGCCCUUCUGGAUGAGUUGCGAAAGGGUGAGUAACGCGUAGGUAACCUGCCUGGUAGCGGGGGAUAACUGUUGGAAACGAUAGCUAAUACCGCAUAGCAGUAGAUGUUGCAUGACAUUUACUUAAAAGGUGCAAUUGCAUCACUACUAGAUGGACCUGCGUUGUAUUAGCUAGUUGGUGGGGUAACGGCUCACAAGGGCGACGAUACAUAACCGACCGGAGAGGGGGCUCUGCCACACUGGUAUGGGGACACGGCCCAGAACCCUACGGGAGGCAGCAGUACGGAAUCUUCGGCAAAGGACGGAAGUCUGAACCAGAGACGCCGCGUGAGUGAAGAAGGUUUUCGGAUCGUAAAGCUCUGUUGUAAGAGAAGAACGAGUGGGAGAGUGGAAAGUGCACACUGUGACGGUACCUUACAAGAAAGCCCCGGCUAACUACGUG